AUGCUUUACACAUGCAAGUCGAGCGGCAGCGCGGGGCAACCUGGCGGCGAGCGGCGAACGGGUGAGUAAUGCAUCGGAACAUGUCCAUUCGUGGGGGAUAGCCCGGCGAAAGCCGGAUUAAUACCGCAUACGCCCUUCGGGGGAAAGCGGGGGACCGAAAGGCCUCGCGCGAAUGGGUUGGCCGAUGCCCGAUUAGCUAGUUGGUGAGGUAAAGGCUUACCAAGGCGAUGAUCGGUAGCUGGUCUGAGAGGAUGAUCAGCCACACUGGGACUGAGACACGGCCCAG
rnacentral:rRNA from 1 species